GAUCAUGGNUCAGGAUGAACGCUAGCUACAGGCUUAACACAUGCAAGUCGAGGGGCAGCAUGGUCUUAGCUUGCUAAGGCCGAUGGCGACCGGCGCACGGGUGAGUAACACGUAUCCAACCUGCCGUCUACUCUUGGACAGCCUUCUGAAAGGAAGAUUAAUACAAGAUGGCAUCAUGAGUUCACAUGUUCACAUGAUUGAAGGUAUUCCGGUAGACGAUGGGG
rnacentral:rRNA from 1 species